rnacentral:rRNA from 1 species
CACAUCGUACAACUGUACGAUGUACACAUUUUUGAGUGCCU